ACGCACGCUGGCGGCGUGCUUCACCCCUGCAAGUCGAACGGAAAGGCCCUGCUUUUGUGGGGUGCUCGAGUGGCGAACGGGUGAGUAACACGUGAGUAACCUGCCCUUGACUUUGGGAUAACUUCAGGAAACUGGGGCUAAUACCGGAUAGGAGCUCCUGCUGCCUGGUGGGGGUUGGAAAGUUUCGGCGGUUGGGGAUGGACUCGCGGCUUAUCAGCUUGUUGGUGGGGUAGUGGCUUACCAAGGCUUUGACGGGUAGCCGGCCUGAGAGGGUGACCGGCCACAUUGGGACUGAGAUACGGCCCAGACUCCUACGGGAGGCAGCAGUGGGGAAUAUUGCACAAUGGGCGGAAGCCUGAUGCAGCAACGCCGCGUGCGGGAUGACGGCCUUCGGGUUGUAAACCGCUUUCGCCUGUGACGAAGCGUGAGUGACGGUAAUGGGUAAAGAAGCACCGGCUAACUACGUG
rnacentral:rRNA from 1 species